UGAAGUUGUACGCCGCAGUAGCAGAUAAGUCCCUAUGUCUCUCUCAAAUGUUCAAAGUCUCGCCUCGAGACCCAACCCAGCCUCAGGAUUAAAUGGUAUUAUCCAGAAGACUCCAGUCCCACUGUCGUCCCACUCACCUCGAGACUCCCUCCCACCCACUAUUUUCCUCAUCGACGAAACCACUCUCAUAGAAGUCACCGAGACCAUUGCUGCCAUCACAACCACCACAACUGAGUCGCCCUUGGGAGGAAGAAAAAAGGUGGAUUUGUAAUGGAUUUGUAGAAGAAACAGAGACGUCUAUUGAAUUGGACCCGUGAACUCAUCUCGAACCUGCCCGUUUCAAACAAGUCGGGUUAGGUCCGGUUCCAAAUCUCAAAUCCCAAAUCUCAAAAUCUCAAAAUCCUUACUAGAAAAAUCCCUCAGAUUCUAGGGUUGAUGAAUUCAAAUCCCAAUUUGUAAUGGGUUUCAAUUCGGAGUUAAGUGACAUGAAUAUUAGGUCAUCUCCAACCGAUCAAGCUAGAAGGUCAAAGAGCCAAAAAUAGCCCGAAAUCACACAAAAACAAUCUUAAACCGAAGACUAGAUCAAAAGACUCGUAGGUUCCACCGGGCCAAAAAAGAGGAAUCAGGCCAACCGGCUGGCUACUUUGGGCCAGCCAGCUAGCCCGGGCCGGCCUCUCUUCCUCUCGCAGGCAGCGACUCAAGCUUCCCUCUUCCUCCACUCUUCUUCUUCUGAUUCAUCUUCUUUCUCUCCCAUCGAAUAUACAGGGCUCUGUGGUCGUCACCGUCAACGUCGUCGUCGCCGAAGGGGAUAGUGAUAACGGUGCCGGCGCUGGUUCUCACGGCGUCAGUUGCCGCAGUUUUCUUCUUCUUUCUCUUGUCCUCUUUAUCGUUGCCGUGCACUUGCGGCGGUGGUGCUGGUAUUGCGCGUGUGGAUUAUGUCGAUGGACCCAGUGUUGGCGUGGCGAAGGGCGGAGGGCGGAGGGCGGAGGAGGAGAGACGAUAUGGUGGUCGAAGGAGGUGUGGAGUGGGUGAAGGAUCAGAUCCGAGUGAAUGGGUUGCAUAUGCAGGAUAACGUGUUGAGGAAGGGAAUUAACCCUCGCACCAGAGCUCAGCAGCUUGAAGAUCUCUCGCAUUAUAACAUAUGCGCACGUUUGUGGGUCAAAGGAAGUAGUUGGUUUGUAUUUCAUUCGCCAUCUUAAUCCCGGACACUUCCAUUGUCUUGAAAGAGAUGAGCUCUCGCUAAUGGCUGCCUUCAGAUACGAGCUUCCUUCCCAAGGUCUUCUGCACAAGCGCCCUUUGAUUGUGAAAGGCGACAACAUGGACUUGAGCAGAUUUGGGUCCGAUGUUGUGUACGACUUGAUAUAUGCUAGCGCUGUGUUUCCUCAUAUGCCUGAUAAGCUUGUGUGGGUUGGAUUAGAGAGAUUGACAAAUAAACUGAAACCCUAUGAUGGGCGAAUCGUUGUUUCCCAUAAUAUCAAAUUCUGUUCGCAGUUGGGAGGAGACGAGUGUACAAAGCAGCUCACGAGUUUAGGCCUGGAGUAUGUUGGAAAGCAUACACUUGCCAACUUGCUAUUUCAUCACUAUGAAAUCUAGUUCGAGUUUAGGCGGACAAAGGCUUAGAGUUGCAGAAUUUAUUCAUUUUUUCACUGCCUUCCGUCCUAAUUUAGAUACGGGAUGCGAAGCGAUGGGUGGCUGCGGUGCUCUUGUGGUAUUUGUUUUACAUCUUUGGCCACCAUUCUCUGAAGGUCAGGUCUUUUAACCUUCUAUUUAUGAUUGUACUUGUUAGAGUGGCAGAUCGUUUGUGCAGGAGGCUGAGGCCUGUUUUGUAUUUUUGGAUAGGAAAAUUGUAACCUGUAAGAAUUUGAUAACACUUUCUUUGAAUUUAUGUAAGCUUUUCAUUUUUUCUUCA